rnacentral:pre_miRNA from 1 species
UGCCCAGAUCCGUGGCCUAUUCAGAAAUGUGGCCUGUGAUUAGGCCGCAGAUCUGGGUGAA